GACGAACGCUGGCGGCGUGCCUAACACAUGCAAGUCGAACGGAGAUUUUACGGAAUGCGACUUCGGUCAAAUGAAGUUUAAUCUUAGUGGCGGACGGGUGAGUAACGCGUGAGGAACCUGCCCUUAAGAGGGGGACAACAGUUGGAAACGACUGCUAAUACCGCAUCAUAUAUCUGAAUGGCAUCAUUUAGAUAUCAAAGGAGCAAUCCGCUUAAGGAUGGCCGCGCGUCUGAUUAGAUAGUUGGUGAGGUAACGGCUCACCAAGUCGACGAUCAGUAGCCGGACUGAGAGGUUGAACGGCCACAUUGGGACUGAGACACGGCCCAGACUCCUACGGGAGGCAGCAGUGGGGGAUAUUGCACAAUGGGGGAAACCCUGAUGCAGCAACGCCGCGUGAGGGAAGAAGGUUUUCGGAUUGUAAACCUCUGUUUUUAGUCAAGAAAAAAAUGACGGUAGCUAAAGAGGAAGCCACGGCUAACUACGUGCCAGCCGCCGCGGUAACAC
rnacentral:rRNA from 1 species